CCGGGUGGUUUCACCUUAAAAAUGGCACCGAGUCUGCGGCCACAACAAGCGGAAGAGGAUGCUGUGCUGGGACAGUUUGAGCUGUUCGGGUGUUACCGACUGGGCCGAAGCGGACCAGGCAUUGAGUUAGACAACGGCUGGAGCAUCGCCCUGUCCUCGCUCACUCUGCUAGCGUCCCGAGAAUUCCCCCGCCCUCCGUCUUGAGCCGAAUCACAGGGGCCUACUGACGCGAGAGUCGCUGGCGUCCGCACGGGGUUCCGGCAUCUCGGAGCGCCCACCGUGUUGUGGCCUCAGGGGAAUGUUGCAGCGUCUGCUAUCCGCGGGGCGGGAGGGCGGGAGGCUCAGCACGACCGAGGACGGUCGCAAUGGAUUCUCCGGGGUCCCGUCGCCGCCGUGUGGGCCCAUUGGACUCCUAGCGCUCCUGGCGCUGGCAGCGUCACCGGACAAAGGGCCCCGGGUAGGGGGUGUCCCGACGCGGGCGCGCGGCUUUACUUCCUCUCCGGUCCCCAUGGGCGUGCUUCCCUCUUUGGCUGAUCCCGAAGCCUGCCCCGCCACCAUCACCGCACCAGUGGCUCUGGCUGCAUGGGACCAACAGGACUAAUCCUACCCCGCGGAUCUAAUCCGGCUCGGGACCCCGUCCCAGGGGAGGCCCCCCCCACCCCUCCUAUUGUUUUGGUGCCCAGUCCAUCUCAGGUGCGCCCUCAGACUGGAAGUGACGGUCGUAGACGUCGGAGAGCCGGGGCAGUGGCCAUCUCUCGAACCCAGGGUAACAUUGGUGAAGGAGGGAGGACCUGGGGCCUCCAGAUAGGGCUGCAAUGGCGAUGAGUCCCACAGGGCCGCCCCAGCCCGCAGCUCGCUAAAGAUAGCCCUCCACUUCCUGGGGAAAAACCACCCCAACCGCCUUCGUGUACAGAGAGUAGCUGAAGUCCCCAGCCUCAGCCUCUGGUCCCCAACUCUGUUAACAGCUGUCCCCGGGUCGUGCGCCUGCGGCAUGGAAAGCGCUUUGGAAUGACACGAUCACUCCCGUUGAGUGGGCACACAAGAAGCCAUCGGGAAUGUCGUGUCCGCCCAGGGCUCUUUCGUUGCCUCCCAGCAGGGCCUUGAAGCCCUGGCCAAGAAAGGGGCCUUGCCAAACUAUUCCUGCCCCUAGGAUCCCCUACUUUCUGAGCUCUGGGCACUCACACUGCUCCAGGGCAGAGAUCACAGGUUUCCCAGCACUCUGUGCUGCAUCAGGUUCGAUUUCCAUU